GAUCAUAUGUGUUAACGGACAAAUUGUAUUGAAUAAAAAGUAUUUGGAGACAAAUCUUUACCAAGAGGGAUAUUCUAAUCUCUUAUGUUUGAAAAUAUGGUUGUGGCAUAUUCCCUAUUUAGUACUCAAUUACAGUAAAAAAAUGUUACAAUAACGACUGCUGACAUUUUUUAUUCUUUAUAUACCCAAUGGGUUUAUUUAUUAAACUUACCUGAAAACUGAAUUGCAAAAUAUAGGCUGAAAUAGCUGAUUUGAUACAAUUCUCCAAUUUGGCAACAAUAUAGACAGAUAAGAGUUAAAGUACUGAGACAGUCUGUCAAUUUCUUAGCAAAAAAUAAAAUAGGCUUGAGUAUUUUAAUUUAUUUUUCAUAACAGCAGAGUUUUUAUCGCAAUCUUUACUGAAAUUGUCUGUAUUCAUUCUCUGCCAUGCUUAC